rfam:Streptomyces griseoruber strain DSM 40281 genomic scaffold PRJNA299232_s004, whole genome shotgun sequence.
CGGGCGGUGUACUCCCAGAUGGCGUCGGCGUCGAGCAGGGCCUGGUCGCCGAAGUAGGCGCCGUCGGCGAGGACGCCGAGCACCUGGUCGUCGCCGUAGGGGCCGGUGCCGACCUUCUCGACGCGGCCGUGCGCCAGCAGAUAGACCUCGUCGGUCUGGUUGCCGAAGGAGGCGAUGACCUCGCCGGGGCCGAACUCGCGCUGCCGGCAGCGCUGGGCGAGCUCCGACAGCACCUCGGCGUCCUCGUAGUCGCGCAACGCCGGGAGUUCUCCCAGCUCGGCCGGGAUCACCUCGACGCGGUCGCCGGUCUUGACGAACGUGAUGCGGCCGUCCCCGACCGCGUACGUCAGCCGCCUGUUGACCCGGUACGUACCACCUUGUACGUCCACCCAGGGCAGGGUCCGCAGCAGCCAGCGGGAGCUGAUCUCCUGCAUCUGCGGCGCGGACUUGGUCGUGGUGGCCAGGUUCCGCGCGGCCGCGGUGCCGAGACUCUGCUGCGGCUUGCCCGA